UAGGGAAUCUUCCACAAUGGGCGAAAGCCUGAUGGAGCAACGCCGCGUGUGUGAUGAAGGGUUUCGGCUCGUAAAACACUGUUGUAAGAGAAGAAUGACAUUGAGAGUAACUGUUCAAUGUGUGACGGUAUCUUACCAGAAAGGAACGGCUAACUACGUGCCAN
rnacentral:rRNA from 1 species